AUGAAAUCCUUGAGUGUUUUACUAGUGGUCCUGUGGCUCCAGUUAAACUGCGUGAGGAGCCAGCAGAAGGUGCAGCAGAGCCCAGAAUCCCUCAGUGUCCCAGAGGGAGGCAUGGCCUCUCUCAACUGCACUUCAAGUGAUCGUAAUUUUCAGUACUUCUGGUGGUACAGACAGCAUUCUGGAGAAGGCCCCAAGGCACUGAUGUCCAUCUUCUCUGAUGGUGACAAGAAAGAAGGCAGAUUCACAGCUCACCUCAAUAAGGCCAGCCUGCAUGUUUCCCUGCACAUCAGAGACUCCCAGCCCAGUGACUCCGCUCUCUACUUCUGUGCAGCUAGUGAGCA